GGGGGCGAUCGGUUUCGACGGGAUAUGCGUCGUGGUAAAUGGCAUAUCGACCAUAAAUGCCGAUUACGGCUACAUGGCCGCUGCUUAAUUAAGCUGGCCCGUCCUGGAUUUGGUGCGCCUAUGGCCGGAUUCAAGGACGUCAAUUUCAUAGGCUGGUUCUGAUUGUUGUCUGUGAUAUCAGAAUAAGACAUUAACAGACUUUGCUCAUAAUGGCUGUGUCAACGGAGCAGUUAUGGGUAAGCCUAAUCCGCUUGACUAAAUAUGUAGAUGUUUAUUGUGAUUCUAUUUCGGACGGGAGUUCGAUUCUCCCCGCCUCCACUU
rnacentral:tmRNA from 1 species